GGGGAUAGUGGCUACCCCUGUCGGCCAUUUCUGCUAACACCUUUCUUGCAGCCUGGGAAUGAAACAGAGGAGAGGUACAACCGGGCGCACAUCUCCACACGGAAUUUGGUUGAAAGGACAUUUGGUGUAUGGAAGAGGACAUUCCAUGUUUUACAUGGGGAAAUACGCAUGAAGCCUCAGAGGGUGACACGUGUAAUCGUGGCGUGUGCUGUCCUCCAUAAUCUGAGGCUGCAGUGGGGUGAACCAGAGGUGGAAGAAGCCGGUGAUCUGGAUCAGCCUCCCGCCGACAUCUUUAAUGGCCGAAUGGAUGGGCGAGGAGUUCGAGACCAUGUGGCUCGUGCUUAUUUUCAGAAUCAGUAAUAACAGAAGAAACCGAUGAUUAAAUCACACCAUACAUUGACGUUUUAUGGAAAGUGAAGACUUGACACUUUUAACACCAAUUUAUUUUGGUUUCAUAAUUUAUUUUCAUAUUUCAGCUUUUAUAUAUAUUCAGAAGUCUGGAAUGACAUAUAAUGUACAUGUAUCAACUAUCAAGAAUUACUGAGAUAAUAAUUUCAAAAGUUAUUUGAAUUUCUCGAUUAAAACAUCGGCUAGCUUUGAAA